rnacentral:rRNA from 1 species
UGGGGAAUAUUGCACAAUGGGCGCAAGCCUGAUGCAGCCAUGCCGCGUGUAUGAAGAAGGCCUUCGGGUUGUAAAGUACUUUCAGCGGGGAGGAAGGCGAUAAGGUUAAUAACCUUGUCGAUUGACGUUACCCGCAGAAGAAGCACCGGCUAACUCCGUGCCAGCAGCCGCGGUAAUACGGAGGGUGCAAGCGUUAAUCGGAAUUACUGGGCGUAAAGCGCACGCAGGCGGUCUGUCAAGUCGGAUGUGAAAUCCCCGGGCUCAACCUGGGAACUGCAUUCGAAACUGGCAGGCUAGAGUCUUGUAGAGGGGGGUAGAAUUCCAGGUGUAGCGGUGAAAUGCGUAGAGAUCUGGAGGAAUACCGGUGGCGAAGGCGGCCCUCUGGACAAAGACUGACGCUCAGGUGCGAAAGCGUGGGGAGCAAACA